AUACCUUUCUCGGCCUUUUUGCUAAGAUCAAGUGUAGUAUCUGUUCUUAUCAGUUUAAUAUCUGAUAAGUGGCUCAUUGGGUCACACGAUAUUAAAUUACUUUUUUGAGGGGGAGGAGCCACCUCAAUAACUUGCUACUGGGCUUCCUGUGUGUCGCUAAUACGUUGCACUAUUGCAUUGGCUACGCGCACCCCAC